UUCCGGUUGAUCCUGCCGGACCCGACUGCUAUCAGAGUGAGAUUAAGCCAUGCGAGUCAACGUAGCAAUACGUGGCAUACGGCUCAGUAACACGUAGUCAACAUAACCAAAGGACGUGGAUAAACUCGGGAAACUGAGGCUAAACCGCGAUAGAUCAAGAUACCUGGAAUGGUUUUUGAUCAAAAUCUAUAUGGCCUUUGGAUUGGACUGCGUCCGAUCAGGCUGUUGGUGAGGUAAUGGCCCACCAAACCUAUAACCGGUACGGGCUCUGAGAGGAGGAGCCCGGAGAUGGGUACUGAGAUAAGGACCCAGGCCCUAUGGGGCGCAGCAGGCGCGAAACCUCUGCAAUAGGCGAAAGCUUGACAGGGUUACUCUGAGUGACUUUCGUUAAGAAAGUCUUUUGACACCUCUAGAAAUGGUGUAGAAUAAGGGGUGGGCAAGUCUGGUGUCAGCCGCCGCGGUAAUACCAGCACCCCGAGUGGUCGGGACGAUUAUUGGGCCUAAAGCAUCCGUAGCCGGCCUUACAAGUCCUCCGUUAAAUCCAGCUGCUUAACAGAUGGGCUGCGGAGGAUACUAUAAGACUAGGAGGCAGGAGAGGCAAGCGGUACUCAGUGGGUAGGGGUAAAAUCCGUUGAUCCAUUGAAGACCACCAGUGGCGAAGGCGGCUUGCCAGAAUGCGCUCGACGGUGAGGGAUGAAAGCUGGGGGAGCAAACCGGAUUAGAUACCCGGGUAGUCCCAGCCGUAAACGAUGCAGACUCGGUGAUGGACUAGCUUUAUGCUGGUCCAGUGCCGCAGGGAAGCCGUUAAGUCUGCCGCCUGGGUAGUACGGUCGCAAGACUGAAACUUAAAGGAAUUGGCGGGA
rnacentral:rRNA from 1 species